rnacentral:lncRNA from 1 species
UCCUCCACUGUAACACCACCCCUUGACCACCCCUUGACCGCCAUUGACCACCCGUCUACCACCUUAACGCCGUCGCCGGAAAUCGCCUCACGGUGGCGGCCGGUGACCAAACCUCUCCAGAUUUACACCAUCAAACCAUCACAACCUCCUCUAUCCCGUCCUGUGACUAAUUUCUGUCAAAUAAGUCUCCUCCGUCUCGAAUAUUUGAAAUUAAGGUCAUCGGAACCACCGUCUCCGGCGACCUUGCUCCAAACAUCCCCAGCUAUACACCAUAGGACCACCAGGACCUCCCCUUCCAAGUCCUGCAGUCCACUCCCUUCAAAU